GGGCUUUUAGCACAGGGGUAGUGCGCCCGCUUUGCAUGCGGGAGGUCAGGGGUUCGAUUCCCUUAGAGUCCA